AUGAUGUGGGGAAUAGCAACCGCGGUGGCGUCCGCGGCCGCCGUCGCCGUGGCCUCCGGCGCCGAGCUCCUCGCGUGCGACUGCGCCCCGACGGCGCCGACCGCCGCCGUCGUCGGCAGAUGCGACGGGUUCCUCUUCCGACAGCGGGAAUCCUCGUCUUCUAGCGGCCGGGGCGAGAGGUUCGCGCCGAGGUUCGACGGGCUGCGGUUCAUCGAGACGCUCGUCACGGCGCACCGCUGA
rnacentral:rRNA from 1 species